UAAGCCCCCAUCGUCUUGCAUUAAGCUGUAUGCAACUGUGUUACAUUGCUGAAUUGACGAGCAGGGCUAACGGUGGUUGGGCAGAGGAUGCGAUCGGCAGGCAGGAGGAGGCCUGAGAUGUCUCGGAUGAAGUUGCGAACAAUUGGUGCUGACAGACAACAAUUAGGUGAGCUGCCGCCGCCUCGCGUCAUUUGUCAGUGAACCAAGUUUCUUCUUCAAUCGGCGGCAGAGUGAUGUGGAAAAGUGUAGCUGGAGUGGACACGGGAAGACAGAGUUUCCGCAUGUGCAGCCCAUCAAGGAAUAAGCACAGAGGGAUGCUGGGGUGCUCUGUUUGGAGGUACCGUCGGAUCGGCCUCUGGCCCCCGAGGCGAGGGGCUCCAGCACCACCACUUGAGGCUUGUCGAGGAAACACCAGCCGUUGUGGACCCCGACAUGAAGCCUCCUUUCCUGGAUGACGACUGUUCUCAGAGGACCCUCUGGUCCUGGUUGUUUCUGAGAAUCAGUGAGAGGAAGAGUUACAACACAAACAGAAAACACACCACACAUAUAUCACCAUUUGUUUGUGUGCUUUUGAUCGGGGUCUGUAUUUCCUGGUUUUAGGCCCGGCCCCUUACUUAUAAUGGUGGAAAAUCUUAAAGCUAUGGCAUAUGUUAAUAAUGAACACAACAGUGUGCUUUCCGCCACUUUGUGGUUACUUUCUUUUGUGGAAGAACUUGACCUGCCUUCACAGCCAUGAAGAGUAUUAUCCAAAGCACAGGGCAGACAUCUUAAGAUUCACAAGACUUUAAGCUCACCUGAUGGUAUUUUAAAAUAUCAUGAAAUUAUUCGGGCUGCCCCCUCUUCGUCGAAUGGUUGUCUGAUCGGCUGUUUUGGUCUUAGUCAAUGUUUUUUUAUGCCUUUUUUUAUGCUGAAUGACGUAUUUCCCAGAAACGUUUAAACACAUCUCUGGUAAACACAAGAUUUAAAGUGCUGAUUUUGCUCGAACUAUCAGUCGACAAAAUAAAAAAAAAAUGUAAUUGAGACAGUCCAAGAAAUUAUGCAAGAAUGACAAAGGAUUGUGAAUAUGACUUUGGAUAAUGUGGACCAAAUAUGAAGAAUGAUUCAAUGAACUUUGAUCCCAUUUAUUUGUCUAUUUCUAUGCUAAGAUAUCUCAAGUACUACAUGAAGAAAACACAUUGUACAUAAAAAUACAUGUUUUGUUACGAACAAUAAGGAUGACGGCAUAUCUAUGGAUCUAUUGUGAAGUAAUGACAAGGACUCAAUGACAGCUUCUCCCAAUUAUCUCUUCACAAUGUUCUCAUAGCGGCUGUGGUACUCCACUGAGCACUUCUUCUUACUACACAAUGAUUUCGGAGACAUUUAGCAUCCUAUUAACUGAAAAUUCUUUCAGGCUUUAAUAAUAAGUGGCACUUAACUCAGUUCCUCUGACAGAAACAAACAACUUAUUUCCUACAAAGGUCCACAUACAAGUCCAAACACUUCCUGUACCAUCAUAAUGGUAUUAAUUAUGUCAAAUCAAAUGCCUAGGGACUCCAAAGUGCAUGUGUUAUGGUCUUAUUGUUAUGGUUAACAAUGGUUUAUUCUAACUUGGGUUUUAUGGCUAUAGUUGCGGUCGUUGUUCCCAUCAGUAAAAAUAACAACAUGAGGGCUGGGUAUCGAACCUUAUUUAUGUUUUGGUGCAGACCGAACUGUGUCCGUAGCUGGUAUUGAAAACUGUCAAGUACUAAAAGCUGGCAUAAAUUAUCCAGAAUUGUAGUCUUGUUAUUGCGUUGUUGUUGGAUUAUUAAAAAUGUUUGCGGUUACAUUGUCAGUUUUACAUACAAAUAAAGAGGUUUGGAGUUCCCCGAUCUCAGCAAUUGCUUUGGUAAGUACAAUGUGAU